AAAGGAUUCUACUAAGAAAACAUAAAAUGACCUAUAAAAGUAACACAUAUAAAUUAUACAUUUGAUAAUGGGUUAAUAUUCAAGCUAUAUAAACCACAUCUAAAUCUCAACAACAAAAAACCAAACAAUUCAAUUAAAAUAUGAGCAAGGGACUAACAUAGACAUUUCUCCAAAGAAGAUAUACAAACGGCCAAUAAGAACACAAAAAGAUGCUUGAAGUUAUUAGUCUUUAGAGAAAUGCAAAUCAAAACUGCAAGAUACAACUUCACACCUUCUAGGACGUCUAUAAUUAAAACAAAAAAAAGCAAAAAAAAAAAGGAAAAACAAAAUAAUAAGUGCUUCCAAGGAUGUGAAGAAAUUGGAAUUUUUGUACUUUGUUUGUGGGAAUGUUAAAUGGAGCAUUCCAUAAGGGAAAGAAAUUGGUGGUUUCUCAAAAAGUUAAACACAUAACUAUCUUGUAACUCAGUAAUUCUACUCCUAAGUGUAUUUCCAGAAGACUUGAGAGCAGGGACUUGAGCAGAUAUUCGUACAUGAAUGUUUACAGCAGCAUUAUUUGCAAUCAUGGAAAGGUGGAAACAAUUCAAGUGUCCAUGAACAGAUGAAUUGAUAAUCAAAAGAUAUGAUACACAUAAAAUGUAAGACUAUCCAUGAGAAGGAAUAAAAUUCUGAUAUAUGCAAUACCAUGAAUCUUUUAAACGUUAUCCUUAGUGAAAUAAUCCAGUCACAGAUGAACCAAUAUUGUGUAAUUUCACUCAUAUAACUUAUCUUGAAUAUCCAAAUUCCUAGAGACAGAAAGUAGACCAGAGGUUACCAGUGGCUGCAGGAGAUGCGAAAGGGAAAGUUGUUGUUUAAUGGGCACAGAGGUUUUUUUGGGGUUGAUUACAUUUUUAUGUAUAGAUAGUGGUGAUUGUUACACCACAUUGUGAUUGUGCUUAAUGCCACUGUAUUGCAUAUUUAUGAAUGAUUCCAAUGAUAAAUAUUAUGUUAUGUAUCAUUUACUACAAUAAAACCAAAACAAUCAAAAGACAAGAUUUUAAAAUAUCUAUUUGGAAGCAUGAGGAACCAAGGACCUAGGAGGAAACAAAACAUUUUGUGAUAAGAUGUGUCUGAUUCCUCCACUUUUAAUUUAGUGUCAUUUUCCAUAAAAUGACUCACAGUAUGAAGACCAAGCAGAAAGCAUUGAACUAGAGCUUCCCUCAGUGUGGUGCUGUCAGGAAGAUAAAAAAGUGCACUUCAGUAGGACAGACAGUACUUAAGGUGACAACAUCCUGUACUAAAUAAAAGAAACAGUGAAAAGUUGCCUUAGAUUUUUGCUCUUGAAGAUUCUAAAAAUUUUAACCUGUUUAGGAGACAUAGAAACCAAAAACCAAAAAGAAAACAGCUACUAAUAGGCCAAAGACAAAGUUAACAAAAUAUUAUCUCAGUGACAUGGAGCUAGGGAAACAAACAAACGAAUAAUUAUAGUUAAAUUUCCACAAAAAAGAAAGAACUUUAAUUUUUAAAAAAUAAAAAAUCUCCCAGGCUUCUUUUCUUUGAGAUUUCUAAAAGUCUACAUACAAGACACAUGAUAAGGAGAGGGAGUAAAAUGACCUUUAAAAUACCUGAAAUGUGCUUCAAAUCAUCUUGAUUCUUAUUUAGACCUGUGAAAUAAUUUAUCAAACUUCAUUUGAAAAGGAAACUAUGGAAAAGGAAAUUAAUCCAUAUCUUGAUAAAUUAACAUCACCUCCUACUCUAACAUGUUUAAUACAAUAUUCAGCAUUCAAAUAACCAAAAUAAGAGAAACUGUACGAUAAAAAAAUAUCUCUAUCGCUCUCUCUCAAAAAGAGAGAGAGAGAGAGAGAGGAAAAAGCAAUGGAGUGGUGAAAAAAGUAAUGUUGACCUGAACAAAACUCUCAGUCUAACUGAUUUUAUUGAUAUUUGUAGAAUACUCAUCCAACAAGAGUCAAACUUACAUGGAGAAUUCAUCAAGAAAGAACACAUUUUGUACCAUAAAACACAUCUUAAACUUAAUAGCAUAUAAAUAAUACAAAAUACGUUUUUAGGCUACAGUAAAAUCAAACUAGAAACAAAAUGCAUAAAUAUAUCAGAAAUAUUCUUAAAUAUGUGGAAAUUAAAAUGGCAUACUUCUGAAUAGUACACGGGUCAGAGAAUUCUCAAGAGAAACUGAAAUGUUUUGAACUAAGUGAAAAUAAAAAUACAACUUAUUUAAGUGUCUGGGAUGCAGUGAAAGAAGUGAUUAGAGAGAAAUUUACAAAAAUAACCUAAGUUUCUACCUUAGGAAACUAGAGAAAAAAGCUAUUUAAGCCUAAAAAGAAGAAAAUACAUAAAAAUUAGAGCAGAAAUUAAAUUAAAACCAAGAGGCUAAAUAUGUUCUUUGAAAUGAUCAAUUAUUUUAAUUAAUAUCUAUCCAAUUGAAUUUUUUUACCUAUAUUCUAGUUCCGUAGGUUUUUCUUUCUUUGUAUUUCUCAUAUGUUCAUGACUAUUGUUCACCUUUUUACACUAGAUCUUUACUUAUGUGUAGUUGCUUUGAAUUUUUUGUCUUUUUCAACAUCUGGGUCAUUACUGACUCUGGUUUUAUCAACUCUGUUUUUGAUGGUUCUUUCCUGCUUUUUAAAUUUGUCUUGUACUUUCACUUAACAUAACACAUCAUAUUUAGAAUACCAGAGACUGAAGUAAAUUAUAUUUACCCCUAGAAAUGCACCUGCUCAAUUUGUUGCUGUUUUUUGUUUGUUUAUUUUGCUGUUAACAUGAAUGUUUGAUUCUUUUUCAUCAGGAGCUGAGCUGGGUUUGGGUCUUGUUGCUAUGUUUACCUCCAGUGCAUAACAGCUUGCAUUUUCCUAUGCUGUAUAUCAGGUAGUGGCUGAGGCACCAGAGGGGUUUUUUUCUCAAUGUUCUAGAUUCAUUCUUCAUUACUGGCAUUAACCCUCUGAUCUUGACAAAGAGAUAUUCUCUCUCUACACUCAGCCCAUCCCCAGUGCUCUUCUGUUAUUGCUUUUGCUUAAUUUUAUCUAAGAUGUUUGAGGAUCAAUAAUUGUUUUGUAUUCUUCUGCUUCAAUAUUAGGCUUAAGUGGGCCUUGUUUGCUUGGUUCUCUAAGGUGUGCCCUUUUAAGUACCUUUUCCGUUAUCCCCAGUUAUAGCUAAGAAUCUCAGCAUCUUAGUUAGGGGAUAGAGUUCUUUCAGUCUUAUUUAGUGGUAGAUCUUUUCUGAUAGUAUCUAGAAAAUUAGGUUGGUGCAAAAGUAAUUGCAGUUUAGAAUCUUGGAUUUAGAAUAUUGUUCUCCCUUUCCCUGUAUGGCAGAAAUUUUAUUAUUGUUUCCUUUACUCCCAGACAGAUUUUGACCUGUCUCUUGGAUGGAAAGUUUUUCUGUAUCUCCUCCAGUAGCUUAGUUUUUGUUUAUCAUCUCCCUGAUGCUGAACAUUCUCAUGAAAAGCUGGGAAUGAGUGCAAAUUCCAUUUGUGUCUGCAACUCUCAGGGUUUCUAUAUAUACAUGCUAGCUAUACUCACCUUUUAGCAAUUUUUCAUAUAAAAUUUAGCCAGAUUCUCAGAGUUUAUUACCUACUUGCGUGGUGUCCAUGUCUCUUCCUUCUCUGCACUGCCACAGGUGUGCCAGUGCUUACAUCCUCUCUCCCCUUGAGUUAACAUAUAUUAUUUUAGAUAUCAAGCUGCUUGUUUGAAUCUAUCUCCGAUAGAUUCAAGAAAAGUUAUGAUUUAUGAAAAAGAGUUAUGAAUGUCACUUAGCAAAAGAAAGGUUCUGGAGUUAAGCAGGCCUUUUCCUUCUUAGAUACCAGUUUGAUAUCCCUUGGUAAUAUUCAUUUUAUUCAUAUAUCUAUAUAAAAUGAAAUUAUUCACCAAAUUCUAAGAGAUAUCUUUCUAAUUAACAUUCUACUUUUAGUUUAUCUUUCCUAGUAAUGUUUUAAUGAAUCUGUAAAUUGAAGUCUAGAUUACCAACCCUAUGUUAAACUUUAUAAUCCUUGCUAACUCAAAACAAAUUAUCAUUUUGGUAAUAACACAACAUUGUACUUUGGAAAAUUUUAAUAUUGUUAAUAAUCUCAGACUAGAAAAUAUAGGAAUCAUUGAAUAAAGGAUACUUUAAAAAAUAUUUUACAUCUAUAUAUCUUAACUGUAUAUAUCUUAACUAUAUAUAUAUCUUAACUGUAUAUAUCUUAACUAUGUAACUUAAACUGUGGCUUGAAAAAGUGGAAUGCUUACGGUCUUAUGACAGUUUUGGAAAAUGUAUUAUAUAAUUAGUUCCUUUUUUUCCAAAAAAUAUGGCACGCUUUCCCUAAAUGUGAAUGUACAUAAACCAUCCCAUGGGAAUUGGUAAUGUUUUAUUUUGUUUUCGUAAUUUAGCCUCAAAUACAUAUAACCUGUUAGACUUUAUGUCAGUACAACCACUUUCUUCAACUUCUGUGCUGAAGACAGAUUUUUAAUCCUACAUAUGCACCUGGAAGAGAAAGUUCAGGAAAACAAUAUACUCAGGAAAUAGAAAUAACCCACAUGGCCCAGGACCGGAUGAUCUAAACCAUUUCCAACUUUACAUUACCUUUUCCUGGGAUUGUGUUCCAUUCCUCUGAGACUUUCUGAUGUUUUGGGGGGUAUACAUUUAAAGGGUACAAGAGCAAUUUUUUUUACAUGAAUAUAUUGUGUAGUGGUGAAAUCUUGGCUUUUUGUACAUCUGUCACCAGAAUGCUGUACGUUGUACCCACUAAGUAAUUUACCACCACCUAUCACUCUUCUGCCCCCUUCCUUUUGGAGUCUCCAGGAUCUGUCAUUCCAUGCUGUAUGUCCAUGUGCAUACCUUAGCUUUACCUUCCACUUGUAAAUGAGAACAUUCAGUAUUUGACUUCCUGAGUUGUUUCACUUAAGAUAAUGACCUCCAGUUCAUGUUGCUGCAAAAGACAUGAAUUCAUCCUUUUAUGUGGCUGAAUAGUAUUUCAAUAUAUACCAUAUUUUCUUUAUCCAAUUAUCCAUUGAUGGACACUUAAGGCUGAUUUCAUAGUUCUGCUGUUGUGAAUAGUGCUGUGAUAAACAUAUAAGUGUAGAUAUCUUGUUGAUAUAAUUAUUUCUUUUGCUUUGGUUAGACACCCAGUAAUUGUACUGCUGGAUCAAAUGGUAGUUCUAUUUUUCAUUUUUGGAGAAAGCUCCAUACUAUUUUCCACAGAGGCUGUACUAAUUCACACUCCCACCAACAGUGUGUAAGUGUUCUCUUUUCUCUGCAUCCUUGCCAACAUUAGUUGUUUUUGACUUUUUAAUAAUAGCCAUUCUGACUAGUGUAAGAUGACAUUCAUGAUGCUGAACAUUUUUUUUCAUAUUCUUGUUGGCCAUUUCUAUGCUGUCUUUUGAAAAAUAUCUAUUCAUGUGUUUUGCCCAUCUUUUAAUGAGGCUAUUUGUUGUUGUUGUUGAGUUCUUUGAGUUCCUUAAUCAGAAUUAGCACAUUGGACUUCUGCUGGUUUUCCAUCAGGACAGUGCUCCAGUCCUCAUGCUCCAGGCAUUUGUUGAAAAAGCUGUAGCAGAAGAGAUUCAGCAGUGAGGAAAGUCAGAUAGAAUCAAGUCAUGAUGAUUUAAAGCAAUACUGCUGAUUUGAAGACAAAGGGGGCAAUGUGGAGAUACUUACGUGAUAGCCAGAAAACAAACAAAAACUGGGUUUUCAACCCUAUAACUCAGGGUUCCCCAACCCCCAGUUCAUGGACCAGUACCAGUCCAUGACCAGUUAGGAACCAAGUGGCUGAGAAGGAAGUGAGCGGAGGGCAAGCAAAUGUCACGGCUCGAGCUCCACCUCCUGUCAGAUCAGCAGAAGCAUUAGAUUCUCAUAGCAGCGAGAACCCUAUUGUGACCUGCACAUACAAGGGAUCUAGGUUGCGCACUCCUUAUGAGAAUCUAAUGCCUGAUCAUUGUCACUGUCUCCCAUCACCCCAAGAUGCGACCAUGUGGUUGCAGGACCACAAGCUCAGGGCCCCCACUGAUUCCACAUUAUGAUGAGUUGUAUAAUUAUUUCAUUGUAUUUUACAAUGUAAUAAUAAUAGAAAUGAAGUGCACAAUAAAUGUAGUGCAUUUUAAUCACCCUGAAACCAUCUCCUUGCCCCUAGUGCAUGGAAAAAUUGUCUUCCACAAAACCAGUCUUUGGUGCCAAAAAGGUCAGGGACUGCUGGAAGCAACUGAAUUCUACCGAGAGCCUGAAUGAGCCUAGAAACAGAUUCUCCCUGAAAGCUUGA
rnacentral:lncRNA from 10 species